rnacentral:rRNA from 1 species
AUUGAGCGCUGGCGGCAGGCUUAACACAUGCAAGUCGAGCGGGGGAAGGUAGCUUGCUACUGGACCUAGCGGCGGACGGGUGAGUAAUGCUUAGGAAUCUGCCUAUUAGUGGGGGACAACAUCUCGAAAGGGAUGCUAAUACCGCAUACGUCCUACGGGAGAAAGCAGGGGAUCUUCGGACCUUGCGCUAAUAGAUGAGCCUAAGUCGGAUUAGCUAGUUGGUGGGGUAAAGGCCUAACAAGGCGACGAUCUGUAGCGGGUCUGGGAGGAUGAACCGCCACACUGGGACUGAGACACGGCCCAGACUCCUACGGGAGGCAGCAGUGGGGAAUAUUGGACAAUGGGGGGAACCCUGAUCCAGCCAUGCCGCGUGUGUGAAGAAGGCCUUAUGGUUGUAAAGCACUUUAAGCGAGGAGGAGGCUACUUUAGUUAAUACCUAGAGAUAGUGGACGUUACUCGCAGAAUAAGCACCGGCUAACUCUGUGCCAGCCGCCGCCGUAA